CCUACGGGGGGCAGCAGUGAGGAAUAUUGGACAAUGGGCGGAAGCCUGAACCAGCAAAGUAGCGUGCAGGAUGACGGCCCUACGGGUUGUAAACUGCUUUUAUACGGGAAUAACGCGCCUUACGUGUAGGGCUUUGCAUGUACCGUAUGAAUAAGGACCGGCUAAUUCCGUGCCAGCAGCCGCGGUAAUACGGAAGGUCCGGGCGUUAUCCGGAUUUAUUGGGUUUAAAGGGAGUGUAGGCCGCAUGUCAAGCGUGCUGUGAAAUGUCCGGGCUCAACCCGGGCCUUGCAGCGCGAACUGGGGUGCUUGAGUCCGCGGAAAGCAGGCGGAACUCGUCGUGUAGCGGUGAAAUGCUUAGAUAUGACGAAGAACCCCGAUUGCGAAGGCAGCUUGCUGCAGCGGAACUGACGCUGAUGCUCGAAAGCGCGGGUAUCGAACAGGAUUAGAUACCCGAGUAGUC
rnacentral:rRNA from 1 species